rnacentral:rRNA from 1 species
UACAGAGGGCUCAAGCGUUGUUCGGAUUCAUUGGGCGUAAAGGGUGCGUAGGUGGCGGGGUAAGUCAGGUGUGAAAUCUCGAGGCUCAACCUCGAAACUGCACUUGAUACUGCCUUGCUCGAGUACUGGAGAGGAGAUUGGAAUUUACGGUGUAGCAGUGAAAUGCGUAGAUAUCGUAAGGAAGACCAGUGGCGAAGGCGAAUCUCUGGACAGUUACUGACACUGAGGCACGAAGGCCAGGGGAGCAAACGGG